GGGACUGUGGCUCAGUGGUAGAGUGCUCGCUUAGCAUGCAUGAGGCCCUGGGUUCAAACCUCAGCACCA
rnacentral:tRNA from 1 species